rnacentral:lncRNA from 1 species
UCUAUAUGAAGAGUGUUCGAUCUUGGAAUAACAGAAAGAAGAAGAAACAUAAUACCUAUAAAAAUAUAUUGGUUUUGUAAAAAUAAAAUGAUACAUAAAGAGACUUGAUGGUAGCAAAGAAACACUAAAGAUCAGUGAAAGAAUCAAAUUUUUUAUAUUUAAAAUGAUGAGAUGAGGAAGAGUAUUUCUUCACAAUGUAAGACAUGGAGAAUCCAAAGUACCGAAGAGAUGCACACUUCGUGACAUAUGAAAUCGAUGACCAACAUAUAUUCUCCAUCAGUUGCGUGCUCUUUCAAGAUCACAAAAGUUUGUCAAACAAAUAAAAGCAAUGAAUCAAGAAAAAAUCCAGUUACCACACUACAUGGUUUUUGAUGUAUGAAAUCUAUCUCACAAUACAUGAUAAGGCAUAUAGGG